UACGGUCAGUAACAUGUGGUCAAUCUGCCCUCAGGACGGGGACACCUCGGGAAACUGAGGCUGAUCCCAGAUAGAUAAUGGAUCCUGGAAUGGUUCUUUAUCCAAACGAUACGGGACUCAUGUGUUUCGUGUCGCCUGAGGAUGAGACCGCACCCUAUCAGGUAGUUGGUGGGGUAACGGCCCACCAAGCCUAUAACGGGUACGGGCCCUGAGAGGGGGAGCCCGGAGAUGGGUACUGAGACAAGGACCCAGGCCCUACGGGGCGCAGCAGGCGCGAGACCUCUGCAAUGCGCGAAAGCGCGACAGGGCCACCCCGAGUGCUAGACGCUGAGUCUAGCUUUUCCUUAGUGUAGUAAGCUAGGGGAAUAAGCGGGGGGCAAGCCUGGUGUCAGCCGCCGCGGUAAUACCAGCUCCGCGAGUGGUCGGGACGAUU
rnacentral:rRNA from 1 species